UACGGAGGGUGCGAGCGUUGUCCGGAAUCACUGGGCGUAAAGGGCGCGUAGGUGGCGCCGCAAGUCAACGGUGAAAGCUCGACGCUUAACGUCGAGUCGGCCGUCGAGACUGCGGGGCUCGAGCACUGUAGAGGCUCAUGGAAUUCCGGGUGUAGCGGUGGAAUGCGUAGAGAUCAGGAGGAACACCCGUGGCGAAGGCGGCCCUCUGGCUCGACCCUGACGCUGAGGCGCGAAAGCGUGGGGAGCGAACGGG
rnacentral:rRNA from 1 species